AUUGAACGCUGGCGGCAGGCCUAACACAUGCAAGUCGAACGAGUGGCGGACGGGUGAGUAAUGUCUGGGAAACUGCCUGAUGGAGGGGGAUAACUACUGGAAACGGUAGCUAAUACCGCAUACCAUCAGAUGUGCCCAGGUGGGAUUAGCUGGUGGGGGGGGUAACGGCUAACCAGGGCGACGAGCACUAGCUGGUCUGAGAGGAUGACCAGCCACAUUGGAACGGAGACACGGUCCAGACUCCUACGGGGGGAAGAAGUGGGGAAUAUUGCACAAUGGGCGCAAGCCGGAUGCAGCCAUGCCGCGUGUAUGAAGAAGGCCUUCGGGUUGUAAAGUACUUUCAGCGGGGAGGCGUUACCCGCAGAAGAAGCACCGGCUAACUCCGUGCCAGCAGCCGCGGUAAUAC
rnacentral:rRNA from 1 species